rnacentral:pre_miRNA from 1 species
CAACUACUCCCUCUGUCCCAAAUUUCUUGUCUUAGAUUUGUCUAGAUAUGGAUGUAUCUAAUACUAAAAUGUGACUUGAUACAUCUGUAUCUAGAAAAAUCUAAGAUAAGAAUUUUGGGACGGAGGGAGUACUUU